rnacentral:rRNA from 1 species
AACAAAGGGAGGCGAAGGGGUGACCUGGAAGCGAAACCCAAAAAUACAGUCUCAGUUCGGAUUGAAGUCCUGCAACUCGACUUCAUGAAGUCGGAAUCGCUAGUAAUCGCGGAUCAGAACGCCGCGGUGAAUACGUUCUCGGGCCUU